CAAUCGGCGCCGAGUGACGAAUUUCCUUAAAUGAAGAAGCUUAUGUGUGGAGUCGACUUCGAUGAAGUUUGGAUGUAAGGUCGAUACGCUUGGGCGUGGAGUCGAUACGCUUAGACAUGAACUCGACUCGCCUGGCGAACGUGCGUCGAAAUCAACGCAGCAGCGUCUCUCCCCCUUUCUGAACGGCAAAGCGUUGCGGAGUUAGCCGGAGUGGGCCACGGCUUUUGGGUCUUUGAGUUUUGCUCCCUCCCAAGGCUUUUACCGCGUCGCUGUUGUCGGCGACAAACUCGAGUGUUGCCGGACAGGUCGUGCGACAUUGGCAACGGGUUCUUUCUGCAGCAGCCAAUGGCAGAAGCUAACGGCCCGCUUCCACACAUGUGCAAUAACACCGUUCCUUUUCGCACCGCUCUCUCUCCCUCUCGAAGGAUUGGUGCCCCACUUUUUUAAUCUUGUCUAGCCAUCUCCUUUCAUUAUUAUUUUUAAACUUUAUUGUUUGUAGUGUUCGUAACGAUGCUGUGUGCUUCGCUCUUUGGCAUAUUUCACUGCUGCUCUGUUGCAGUUUAUGCGGUGAUCAGAGGAGUAAUUGUCGUUCACACUUACGGAACGCGUGGAGAAGUUUGUUCACCUGUACCUAAAUAACCCAGUCCAACACCUGUUCCUUUUUUUUUCACUUUUUGUUUUUGUUUUAAAUGCACGUAUAGAGACGCGAUCAUACCUCGAGAACAUAAUACUGCAUUUUAACUUCGUUUUAUAUUAGUGAGCCCUCAAUUCCAAGAGGCGUCGUCACUCUCUCCCAUUCUCUUUCCCUUUCUCUCCUGCAGCAGUAAAGAGUGUGUGAAUUGUUGAGUUUGCUGCGCUUUUUUUUAUUAUUGUUCAACCGGGGACCACUGGCAGAGAUUGUCGUCUCGGCGUUCUUUUUUUAUUUUGCCCGCGACCACUGCACAUAUAGGGGUUGUACGUUCGUAAAGCGCAAUAACACAACCUCGAGAAGUCGCAAGAGGAGCAGUUCAAUUCAUCCGCGAGGUCAACUAGUAUCGCGCCUUUCUGGCUAGUUGUGGAGCUUCAUCGUUUUCAUCCGACAGGGGUGCAACCGUCCUCGAUUUAAAAUUUCUCAUUCGAUAGCGAUGGGAGUAAAUGAAUGGCAGUGCUUUAAAAUUGGCUGUUGUGGUGUAAUCGAAGCGUACGUUGGCGUUUUGACAUCAUAACAUUGUUCCCCCAACCGGGCGCUCUCCGCAGAGAUUGUACUAGUUGAAGACAUCAGGUAUCUAGUCACGUAGCAGCAAUCCUGAAUUCGUUCAACGUAUUGUUAUCUUGGCUGAGCGAUAACCAUUUGGCUAGAGACGGAACGCACGGCACUACAUCGGCAGAUUAUCUGGCGGCCAAAAUGUCGGCGCGAGAAACGAAAAAAGACACACCCACGCAAUUCUACGCCCGUGGACAUUUAUUUCCUCCAGUUGCAACGUCGCUCGUUCAGCGCGAUGCCGACAAGUGUGUCAUUUACUGCCACGUUGAAAUUCAGUUGAGCUGAUCAUCGACAGAUGUCGCGUCGCGCUGCGCGCACGUCAUCUCACCGCGCAUUCGGGCACGCAUGCGCCGUCUGUCCGUAGCUGUGGGAACGCAAACAGGCCUCCGAGAUAGCGGUCUCUCCCAAUCACGGAGGCGACGGUUCGUUCGAUGGCCUCUCCCAUCCCAGGUACCGUAAAUCGUUCACUAUGACUUUGUUUUCGCUUGUUUUUGUCUAUUUAAGAAAACGCGACAAGUUACGCUGCCGAGUUGUCUUCAUUGUUCACGCGUCUCAUCACUGUAACGCCACGAUCUUAUCCAACGGUCCUAAUAGCUGGCGUGCCAAUACAGCGCGUUUCGGAACAGGUUAGCGCUUGUGACACGCAUGCAUGCAUCGUCGUUCAUUAAUUCUUGAGCAGAGGAUGUUCAAGAUGCGCAUAGUUUUCUGUACAAAAGAAAUGUCGAGUCACCGUGCAUACAGACAUGCGCGCGAAUCAGCACUUGUGACAUUGUAAUCAAGAGGGUAUAUAUAUAUCGUAACUUGUACCAGACAAUUCACGCCCAGUCUAAUCACCCCGAAGCUUUCAUGACUGCUCCUUAACGUUAGUUUCUUUUUCAUUGUAUGCGUUCUUUUCAGGGCGUUACAACCGUUGGAAGAUACAGCAGUCUGCCUUGAGGGGCUUUCAGAAAUACCUGGCUUCAUUUUUGUCAAAAAUUCGCUGGUGAUUUAUUUGCACAAGUGUGUGAUAACUCUAUUCGCACCAUGUCUCGGUAUCAAACGAUUUGGAAAAGACGUCAUUCUCGAUUCCUAAAUUAGAAAGAACCUUCAUACGCUUCUAAAUUGUACUCAAUGACUUCAUGACUACUUGUCUGAUCGGGGAUUUGCGGACCGAGCACCCGUGAGAGGCGUCGUUAGGCCUAGCUUUUCUUAGGCGUAACUAGGCCUAACGCAAUAUUUUUUGGGGUGCGUUUACCCAUCCAGCAGGCUGCUUGCCAACGAUUGUAGUCGCCUUGCGCGGGGUCAUCUAAAAGCUUUUUUUUUUUUCGCUUUGAUGAUUUUCGGUAACAUGCGAGUAAAAACCCAGAGUUGAGAAUCCAUGCUCCCUAUGUACAUACAGCUCUGCCCUCGCCCUGUCCUGUCGCGUUGUGACGUCAUUUCAAGUUCAAUUGUCGAGGCUUGUGUCUUCUUAUAUUUGUAUUUGUUCUUUGUUUUUUUCAUUUCUUUGCCGCCUCCUGCUUCUGAAAGGAUGUGUCAAUCAAGCCUCUGUAUUGAUUUUUUUUUCAUCGUAAUUCAUAUGUCACGUGACUGUUGUGCCAUUUUUGAGAGGAGAGAGGUCGCCUCGCGACAAGUCUGUUGUGACGGUCAGAGACGACUACGUUUUAUCCGCUGUGAAUGAAUGUGUGUGAAGUGAGAAGCGAUAGCAAGAAAAAAACAGAAAAAAAAGUUUUUACUCUCGUGGUCUCUGUCUAGAGUUGCACUACGCUUAAGAAGGUAAAGACUAUGUUUUCCACGAGUGCGUGUGAAAUAUUGAGAGAGAGAGAGAGAGAGAAAGCGAUAGAGGAGAUAUAUUAUAUAUAUAAAUAUAUAUUUUAGCCCUGUACUAUAAGCAUUGAGAUAUAUAGAUAUUUGUAAAGCCCACCAAAACCCCCAAUUUUCUUCUUGAAGGUUGGUUGUUUUAAUCUUAUCGUGCGUAAUGAUCCGAACUGCUUUCGUCAUGCUUCAGGCUCUGAAGGUCACUGACUGAAGACAGCAAUUUAUUCGAAUGUAAGGCUCCGCUUAAUGAAAUAUUCCACGCCUCUCGCAUUUAAAGUUCAUGUUACUACACGAAGCAAUAAAUGACCAAUGCGGCCUCAAAAAUAAGAAAACAAUAUUCCCUUGGUUGGAGGCGGAGUCACCCGACAGUGUGGACAUGAAUGGAAAACUAAAUGGAUCUUUACAAAAUCUGACCACACAAGCUCUACUUUCUAGCGAUUCACUUCAUUUUCGAUCCUCUUCUUAUCAUGCGUCGUGUUGAGGCGCUGAUCCCAGAGAUAACGGCGAAGAUAGCGGGUUAAUUCCGGAGAUAAUGACAGUGCGUUGACGCUGCAGUGAAUAAAAAGACGGCGCAAAUAAUGGGAAAAGGGAAAGAAAAAAACAUAGUUGGAUUAUUUGUAAUACGACAGUUGGUUCCGCACUCGCAACAAAUUUCGUGCAGUUGAGAGGUGGAAGGGUUGAUUCUGAUAGCCGGCUCAUUAUCGACAGGUUCCGUCGGCCAACGACAAAGAAUUCUUACAUCGUGAAAUCUUUCUGAAAUGGCCUACUGAGUCCACACUGAAAAAAACAAACAAAACAAAAAACUAGUGCGCGUUCCUAUUCGGCAUUCGCUUGUCUCUUGGUCGGACCCAUGCUGUCGCCUAGAUGUCCACAGCAUUGGACGGCCUUCACGGCGCUGGCCGGGCCCCUGCGAGCUUUAUAAAGACGUUGUUUUACUCGCCGACGUGGUCUGAUGUCCGCAUCUGUUGGCGUUUUGGGGGCCAACGUUAAUUACCGCAUUGUUGUGUGGGAUUGCAGGCUGAAUACGUUAAAAUUUCAAACUUGAGCUUUCUUCAAUCGGUGGUGCUCUAGCCUGAUAGCCUGACGAAUAGCGGCGAGGUUUCGUGAAGUGGCGUUUCUUUGCUCCACCCCCCCCCCCCCCCUUUUCUUUUUUCAUGUAUCAUCUUAAUUGGUCGAAUUUAUGUAAAAAAAUUGUUCUUCAUACCUGUUGAUUUUGUCGUCCUGUCGAGUCCCAGUGACUUGUUCAACCAAUGGAGGCGCGAUCUCAAAUGCUAUCUUGCCUUUAUUGUUUGCGUUCCUCUCUUUCACCCCCCCCCCUCCCUCCACCUUACCGCUUUCUUCUUUUUAUUUUUUUUCGCAUGCGUGAUGGCGUUGUGGUUUUUCGAAGGCAAAUAGAAAAACAAAUGGCAUAGUUGACGUCUACAGGCUCCAGGAUUUUGUUUCUCUAGCGUUUUAAUGACUCCAGCAGUGGCUGUCGUUUGCUAUUCAUCUCCGGAGCAAUUAACUGUGUAAAGCCCGACGUACUGCAUAAUCUGCGUCCAGUUUCAUGCCUCAAAAUGCUGAUUUAAGAGUUGGAAGCUUAACGCAAAGCCUAUGGGUGCUUUCAAUGCAGAUUUUAAUACUUCAACAAAUUAUUAAUUGCUUGAUUACUACACUAAUUAAGUUCCAACUGAAGUAACAUUUCAUCGUUACAUUUUUUUUGUACAAAUGUACAAUGUAUCAUGGCCAGAAAUGAAGUUGUUACAAUGUUCCUUGAUGUGCAAGUGUGCUUGGGCAUUAAGGGUUAACAAGGAGGAAUUCACAGAGGGGCAACAGUUACGUAGCGAGAAGCAAUACAAUGCAUAAUCUGUCAUGCAGACUAUGGUCUCUAUUUGCCACGUUCUUGUGGAAGCAUAUAUAUAUAUGGAGAGAGAGAAUGCAGAGUUUUAUGUAUCCUAAGGGAUAUAAAGACCUGCCAUCCUUUAACCGUCCCUAAAAAAGAAACGAAAGAUUAACUCUUAUAAUUGUUCUAAAGUUAGUAGGUGGCCUAAAGAGUCUCGCACCCCUACUCACUUUUGGAUGUAAAGAUGCGAAGUAUAGACCGAUUAGCACGCUUAUUCACUUUUAAGGGUGUCAAUUAUUUUACAGUGUACCUGUCUAAUGUAGGUUCCUUUGGAGCGAGCUUGUUUAAUCACCGUGUCGGCUCCGAGAAUCCUUACCAAAAGCAUGGCUACCAGACGUGGUUCUUGGCACAGCUCUCAGAUCUGAUCGGCUGUCUUAUCUCCGGUUAGCUUUAUCCAGCUUCCUCCGCUAUAUCCCCACAUGCCGCGUAAUUCUAAAGUUUGCCUCGCCGAGGUCAUUAGACGGUUUUGCUUUUCAGCGCUUCACUCAUGUUCUCGGAUCCGUGUGUCGCUGGACCCCAGUGAGGACACGUUAUGCAGGAGUGGACGUUUCAUCCAUUACCUUCGAUAAAUCACAACGCCCGCGUUACGGUCUUUUGUUUUAUGUGUAUAAUUAGUAACGACGCAGUACAACAGUUCGCGUUUGUCUUUUCUGGUUUCGAGUGCAAAAUAAGCCCCGAGUACUGUUCAUCAGUUUCAUCUUGCCUGCCAACCAGUGUACGUCUUUCGCGCUGCUGUCCUGUAGUUCGUGUUAUAUCGCUCGUUAUGCUUCCCCCCGCCUUCUGUCUUACCUCUCCCGACUUUUAUUGUGCCCGUGUUGCGUGCCGAUUUGUUUCCUGUGUUUUCUUUGUAGAGAAACCAGACGCUUGAAGGCAGUUCUGCCAUUUUUCGAGCGCACAAUCCGGUGAAAGAAAAAAAAAAAAAGCUAGACAUAUAAUGGAUAGAGUGCACCUUUGCUUUUUUUUCUUCUGCUCGUUGGUCGUUGUGACUCGCGGUGGAAAAGAAAAAGGAAAAAUAUGACGAACUGUCGUGUGUGUGGAUACCGUGAGUGUGUGUAGAGGAAUGACGACGGAGUGUGUAAGCAACGGAACCCACAUCGUCGUGGCCAACUGCGUUGCUUUCAAGAGCUUUUUUUUUUUUUUUUUAAACGCGACGUUGUCCCCCUUCAGCGCGCGUCGUCUGCUGCUCCGUAGCAGACGUGGACGCUCUUCCCGCGCCGACGCAGACGACGACGUUGUUUCUGCCGCGAACUGCGUAGUGUCUAUCCGCGGCUGUGAGUGGCUCACGUUCAAAUCACGUGACCGGCCCGAUGGCGGCAAGAUGGUCGCCGUAUUUGUGAAUGUCGUUCCUGGACCCCGCGGUCUCCCCCUUUCCCAGUGCGCUUUCUCGUUUACCUAUUGUCGUGUUUUUGUUUAAAAGCUGACCCUUUCCACUGUGGCCUCCUCACCCUUUUUUUUUAAGUCAUCAGGGGGCAUUAUACGUGCGUAAACGUUUUGUGCCGCUGAAUUUAGCUUUUGUUCUGAGCGUCUUAAUCUCGCCUUUCUUCCUCUUUUUUUUUCUCUUCCGUUACGCAUCGCUCAUUGCCUGUACUAUGACAGCUGUGUUUUUUUCUGUGUGUACAUUGAAAGCGAGAAACUUUCUGUGUUGUGAGCAUUUAUUUGCUUGUUGUUCCCCUAGCUGGCAAAGAGCAUGUUCUUAUUACAUCACUCUCCUCUAUCAUUACGUGGAAGUUUAUCUGAAUAGUUUGCAUCCCCUCUUUCUCUCGCGGAGUAGCGAUUACGCGACGGAUUUAUUAAAUAAAAGAAAAAUGGCAUCCGACA